AGCAAAGUAUGGCAAGGCAGCUGAGUCCCUAGAGGAAUGUCACUCUGCGUAUUUCAAGGAUUUGUAAGUGUGUUUUGUCCUCAACUAGUCCUCUGUUCCCCCAUCAACAUAUCUUACAUCUUCAUUCUAGGGAUGAAAAUAUUAAAAACACCUCCCUCACAAUGAAACUGUUUUCUCCCUAUGUACGACUCCCCCUUCCCAUUCUCAUGACAUGUAGUUUCUUUGUUUAAUUAGAUUUUAGGACUGCAGAAUUAAAUUAAUCCCAAUCCAUGGCCCAUAGGGCUCAACUUUAGCUGUUUAGCUAGUUUCUGUUAUCAGUUCAUUUUUAUUUUUAUUUUAUUUUAUUUUUUUCAAAUCCUGUGUCUUUAUUAAAGAGAGUUAGAAGGAGACUAUGCCUGGCAACUAAGGAGUAAGGUAUUAGGCAGAAAGGUGGGGUGGGCUCAGGCCCUGGGAGUUCAAGGGCAAACCAAUGGCCCCUGGAGGGGCCCAGGAGACCAGUUCCUGGCAGCACCUGAAGAGAUACCCAAAGGUGAGCUUUCAGGCACCCAGGCAACCAGCUGGUUUUGCAGGGGGUGCAGGGUGAGCUGGGCUCGGCCACUUGCCUUGUCUACCUAGAUCAUCCACUGGUCCUAAUCCUGUUCAUUGCCUCCCUUGUCCACCUCACUGACCUCUCCAACUUUGGGUGACUCCAUGUAGUCAUUCAUCUCAUCCCUGUCCUGCAUAUCCUCAUUGUCUUCUGAGUCCUCUUUAUUAUCCUCAUCAUCCUCUUCCUCCUCCUCCUUCUGGUCGUGAUAGUGCUCUUAGGCCAGCUUGCCAAUAGAUACCAGGUUGUGGUCUCUGUGAUAUUCUAGAGCCAGGCCCAAUGGACUUGUUCUUGCUUUUGCUGUGGCUCCAUCUCAUCCACACAGAGUUGAUCCAGAUUAAACCACAGUGUCUCAGUCAUACAGGGGAAGGGUGAGGGAAAAAAAGUGGGCAUGGCUUCUAAAUGGAGGUAAAGGGUCAGGUGAAUCCAGUUUUCAGAUGUAUUUAGUUUGGGUUUUUAUUUGGUUACAGUAUGAUUUGGGGAUGGGGUGGAGUUGAAGGUAGCAGAGAAGUAACUCUUCCCUGUGGGCGUCAGACAGACCUGGGUUUGAGUCCUAGCUCCACCACAACCAGCUGGUAGCUGGUUGACCUUGGCCAAGUCACUGAACUCCUCUGAACCUUGGUUUCCUUAUGCAGAAGGGCAACAGCCAGCUAUCAGUUUAUUCUUAAAAAGACAAUAAUCACCUGCAAACCCUUCGUCUAAGCAAAGGUUAGGACCUUGACAAUAAUCUACAUGUUACCAGAUACCACUCUCUCCCCCAAGGAGCCCAUCCCCUGCCUUCCUUAUGCCCCAGGAUCUUUAUCCUGUGUUUCAUAGUCAUCAUUUUCUUGUUUUCCUUUUCAUUUAACUUUAGUGAAUCUGUAAGUAUUCUUAAAAAGGAUAUUUAAAAUUUUUUAGAUAUUUUUAAUAUCACAGAAAGAUAUAAUGCUGUUUGAAGUCUUUUGGGGUUUCCUGUCUUUUGUUCAGUAGCGUAUGGCCAAAGUGUAGCCAGACUGGUGAAUGUGGGGUAGUUCAUUGACACGGUUGCUGUAUGAUUGUCCACUCUCCUUCUCAUUCAUGUUUGGAUUAUUUAUAAAUUUUUGCUUGCUUGAUUCUGCCAUAAUGAACACUGUUCACUGCCUCCAGCCAUAUGCGUAUAAGAAUUACUCUUGGGUAUAUUACUCCUAGAAGAAGUCAUCUUCAACUUAGAAGGUAGGCAAAAUGUUCUCCAAAGUUGUUAUAAAAUGAAAUUGCAGGAGUCCAUAAAAAUCUGCACUUUAUUCCUUUUCUUGUUUCUAUUCUUGCUGGGACCUGCACCCCCUACUUUAUACAUGUGUCAUAAUGCAAAUAGUGUUGUCCUCCUUGUAAGGGACAAGGAGUGAAUGAGUUCUCUAGAACAGAUAACAUCUAAGGAAGGACCAGGUGAGAAUGACAAGGUGAAGCCAUCAUAUGCAUCUUCCAGACCACCAGCAUGGACAUCUUCAUGCCAAGGACUCUCUAGCUCCAAGGAAUAACACUUGUGCCCUCAUCUUUGUUCUAUUUCUGAAUGCCAGAGAGGACACAUAUUCUAGACUCUCAUCCUCAGUAAAAACCCCAGACCCUGAACAUAGGCAAGACCCCCUGCUUUCCUUUCUGAGUCUCCUGGACACUCAUUACUGGCACUCUCUCCAGACCUUCAGUAAAGUCUGCUUUCGCCUCCUGCUGGCUCCCAUUUGAUUUCUAUCCUGUGCACAGCCAGAGACCUUCUCAGCUGGUCCUGCAGGACCCCUGUUCAGUCCUUGGACUGCUCUGCCAGCAUCAGUUACACCGAUUUACAUUCCCACCAGCAGCACGUAAGAGAUCUCUUUGCACUGUAGUUUCCUGUAGCUAGGUAAUUAUUCUAUGUUCUAGACUAUUCUACAAGCCACUUGAGGAUGAGGUAAUAUUGUUAGAGAGACCAAGAAUAUGGGGUCUAGGGGCACCUAGGGUUGAGUGUCUGCCUUUGGCUCAGGUCAUGAUCCCGUGGUCCUGGGAUUGAGUCCCGUAUCAGGCUCCCUGCGAGGAGCUUGCUUCUCCCUCUGCUUAUGUCUCUGCCUCUCUCUCUGUGUCUCUCAUGAUUAAACAAACAAAAUUUUUUAAAGAAAAAAAAGAAGAAGAAUAUGGGGCCUAUGUUUGACUUCUGUUUUCUUCCUUAUUAGCCAUGUGACCCUUGAACAAAUUCAUCCAUCCAACAAUUAUUCACUGAACAUCUACUGUGUGCUAGAGACACAGAAAUAAACAAGAUAAGGUCCCUGUUCCCCUGGAGUCUCCAUUGCUAGGGAGGGGAAGACAAUAAUGAGUAAAUAGACAUUCCAUACAGUGGUAUGUGCUAUGAAGAAAGGAAAGCCAUGAUGUGCUAAAGAGUGACUGAGGGUGGAGCUACUUUAGCCCAUUUAGGUAGGGAGGGUCACUUGUGUGGAGGGAACCUCAGAGCUCAGAUCUGAAUGAUAAGAAGGAGAGGUCAAUGAAGAUGUGGAUGGUGGGAGCUGGAGGCAGAGGGCACAGCAAAUGUGGAAGCUCUCAGGUGAGACUGUUCAAAGGCAAGGAUGCAGAGAAAGGGGUAUCUUCUUACACUGUUGGUGAGAACACAAACUGAUGCAGCCACUCUAGAAAAUGGUGUGGAGCGUCCUCAAAAAGUUAAAAAUAGAGCAACACUAUGAACCAGUAAUUGCACUAGUAGGUUCUUACCCAAAAGAUAUAAACAUAGUGAUCCGAAGGGGCACCUGCACCCCAAUGUUUAUAGUAGCAAUGUCCACAAUAGCCAAACUAUGGAAAGAGCCCAGAUGCCCAUCAACAGAUGAAUGGAUAAAGAUGUGGUAUCUAUAUACAAUGGAAUAUUACUCAGCCAUCAGAAAGAAAGAAAUCUUGCCAUUU
rnacentral:lncRNA from 1 species